GACGUAGGGCGCGAGCGUUGUCCGGAUUUAUUGGGCGUAAAGAGCUCGUAGGCGGCUCGUUGCGUCGGCUGUGAAAACCCGCAGCUCAACUGUGGGCUUGCAGCCGAUACGGGCAGACUAGAGUGCGGUAGGGGAGAUUGGAAUUCCUGGUGUAGCGGUGGAAUGCGCAGAUAUCAGGAGGAACACCGGUGGCGAAGGCGGGUCUCUGGGCAGUAACUGACGCUGAGGAGCGAAAGCGUGGGGAGCGAACAGG
rnacentral:rRNA from 1 species